AGCUUACUAUGCCAUGAUUGACGCUGAGGCACGAAAGCGUGGGUAGCGAACAGGAUUAAAUACCCUGGUAGUCCACGCCGUAAACGAUGAUUACUGGUUGUGUGCGAUAUACAGUGCGCGACUGAGGGAAACCAUUAAGUAAUCCACCUGGGGAGUACGUUCGCAAGAAUGAAGCUCAAAGGAAUCGACGGGGGCCCGCACAAGCGGAGGAACAUGUGGUUUAAUUCGAUGAUACGCGAGGAACCUUACCUGGGCUUAAAUGUAGAGUGCAUGGCUUGGAAACAGGCCUUCCCUUUCGGGGCUCUUUACAAGGUGCUGCAUGGUUGUCGUCAGCUCGUGCCGUGAGGUGUCGGGUUAAGUCCCAUAACGAGCGCAACCCCUAUCGUUAGUUGCCAGCGGGUAAUGCCGGGGACUCUAGCGGAACCGCCGGUGUAAACCGAGAGGAAGGUGGGGAUGACGUCAAAUCAGCACGGCCCUUAUGUCCAGGGCUACACACGUGUUACAAUGGCCGGUACAAUGGGCAGCUACCAGGUGACUGGAUGCUAAUCUCCAAAGCCGGUCUCAGUUCGGAUCGGAGUCUGCAACUCGACUCCGUGAAGUUGGAUUCGCUAGUAAUCGUAUAUCAUCAAUGGUACGGUGAAUACGUUCCCGGGCCUUGUACACACCGCCCGUCAAGCCAUGGAAGCUGGGGGUACCUGAAGUACGUAACCGCAAGGAGCGUCCUAGGGUAAAACUAGUGACUGGGGCUAAGUCGUAACAAGGUAACC
rnacentral:rRNA from 1 species